GCCUGGGUGGCUCAGCUGGUUAAGCAUCUGACUUCGAAUCAGAUGAUCUCACAGUCCAUGCG
rfam:Felis catus isolate Cinnamon breed Abyssinian chromosome A2, whole genome shotgun sequence.